GAAGAACCUCUCAAACUCUAAAACCGUUCAGAAAGGAAAUUGCUACAAACACACAAAACAAUCAAUCAAACAAACAAAAGGGUUUUCGGUUGGUGUUUACAGAAUCGUCUAUGGCUUUUGAUUCAAGAAGAAAAGAGAGAAAAAGAAAGAGAGAAACAAGAGAAAAGAGAAAGAGGGUCGCAAGGCGAAGAGUUGUAAAAUCA
rnacentral:misc_RNA from 1 species